rnacentral:rRNA from 1 species
GUGGGGAAUCUUGCGCAAUGGGCGAAAGCCUGACGCAGUCAUGCCGCGUGAAUGAUGAAGGUCUUAGGAUUGUAAAAUUCUUUCACCGGGGACGAUAAUGACGGUACCCGGAGAAGAAGCUCCGGCUAACUUCGUGCCAGCAGCCGCGGUAAUACGAAGGGGGCUAGCGUUGCUCGGAAUUACUGGGCGUAAAGGGCGCGUAGGCGGACAGCUUAGUCAGAGGUGAAAGCCCAGGGCUCAACCUUGGAAUUGCCUUUGAUACUGGCUGUCUUGAGUUUGGGAGAGGUGAGUGGAACUCCGAGUGUAGAGGUGAAAUUCGUAGAUAUUCGGAAGAACACCAGUGGCGAAGGCGACUCACUGGCCCAAUACUGACGCUGAGGCGCGAAAGCGUGGGGAGCAAACAGGAUUAGAUACCCUGGUAGUCC